rnacentral:lncRNA from 1 species
UUACUUGUUGUAACUAUGUAAUCACGAACGAAUAUUGAGCUUGACUGUCCUAAAUUGUCAGCAAUGGGUUCGUACUACUUUAAAAACUCCAGAAAGAAAAUUUACAGUUUUAGUUAUUAGAGUAAUGCUUGUUCUUUCCAGGCACUGUUCAACCAUUUCAAAACGUCCUAGCGACUCUGUACUUUUCAAAACAUUUUUCAUCAGAUCGGAUGAUACGAAACGGAACGAAAUAUUUGUUAAGCUUUUGACAGCAUCAUUCAUUUCUUCCUCAAGUGCAGAUAAUUUUAAACCAAUUUUGUUCACUUCCAAUAGACAGUGUUGGUCAGAUCCGCCUCUUAUAGUACCAAAGAGCAAUCGUUCCCAAUUAUU